rnacentral:lncRNA from 1 species
GAAGGUGACCGGGUCGAUGAAUUAUAAUUAAAGAACCAAGACCCUGUUACAGACUGGGUUAUAAAACAGUUGUAAACCGGAUAGCCUUAUAAAGGUCAUUUCGAAUUGAAAAGUGCAGAAAUAUUUUUCAUAAAAACUUCCAGUUCCAUUUUAUCGGGUUAUUAUUCCGUUUUACAGAUCACUGCUUACGCGGUUGCUUAGAAUUUGCGCAUUUACAAACUUUUUGCUAACCUUGAUGGAAUAAUUACGAUUGUCUAGCGCCUUAGUACAUUAUAAUUGUAUUAAUUAACGUGUGGUUACCUUUUCUUUGCGAAAAUCGGGUCACACAGUUUUAUGUAAUGAGUAGAAAAAAAUUACUUAGUUACUUAUCAAAGAAACAAAAGGAAAACUAUUAGUUAAAUAAAUAAGUUGUUACUAUCAAAUAGAAGAGAUGUUUAGACUGACAACGAAAAAUGAAUGAUCGGCAAAGGAGGAAAGGAUCUGAUUAUUGGUGAAGGUUCUGUAAUAGGAAAAGAAAAAAUCUUAUCAUUGCUAAUAUAUUUGUUAAACUGUCUGAAAGGAGACGUAUCCAAUGCUGGAUACACAGAUAUCAAGAUAAGACUGAGUGUAUAGUAGACCUACCGACCUUAUAGAAAUGCUUUAGAAGAGUAUUGGUCAUCAGACGGCAUGUGAUAUGAGAUAUUUCCUGCUACAAUGGGAAAACAUAGGUACAUCUUAAAAAAGAAAGAAAAAAAGUUGACAAACUAGCAGCAGUUCGUACUAUUGUUGACAAGUCCAAUGAAAAUUGUAAGAUAACUUAUUCAGUAAGCGAGUAUAUGACUUUAUGAAAUGCUGCUUGCCUUUAGGGAAAUCUAUGCUGGAGUUCAACCUGAUGCCUCAUACAAAUCUGACAAUUCUACCGCUACAAUAACAGAAAAAAUGUCAUAUUUAUCAGGUUCAGGAAGAAAUGUUAUGGACCAUCGGAACAGAAAAAAUCCGAAAUAUUUACUUUUUACAACGGCACAAAAAGUGGAGUUGAUGUUAUUGAUCGAAUGAUCAAGUCACAUAAUGUUGCUAGAAAUACAAAGCGUUGGCUAAUGAUAGUUUUUUCUUUUAUCAAUCAAUAUAGCAGCAAUUAAUGCUUAUGUUAUUUACAAAGACAGUAGACCUGAUGGCGAAUUUGUUAAAACUAGUAGAUUAUUCCAAAAGAAUCUCGGUAUGGAAUUAGUGCAGGAUAACAUGCGAAGAAGAACCGUCGAUAAGCACAUAACCUUAACAUCGCCACAUAAAAGUUCUAAUGGGCGUUUUUACUGGGCACUGCUGA